rnacentral:tRNA from 1 species
AUAAAGUUGACAGAAGAUAUGUGAGUAAUUUAGGAUUAUUUUAUAAAAGGUUAUUUCCUUUUACUUUAUA